rnacentral:rRNA from 1 species
UACGUAGGGGGCAAGCGUUAUCCGGAAUUACUGGGUGUAAAGGGAGCGUAGACGGUAAUGUAAGUCUGGAGUGAAAGGCGGGGGCCCAACCCCCGGACUGCUCUGGAAACUAUGUUACUAGAGUGCAGGAGGGGUAAGCGGAAUUCCUAGUGUAGCGGUGAAAUGCGUAGAUAUUAGGAGGAACACCAGUGGCGAAGGCGGCUUACUGGACUGUAACUGACGUUGAGGCUCGAAAGCGUGGGGAGCAAACAGG